rnacentral:lncRNA from 1 species
GAGACGGGCAGGAGACACUAAGGCUGCUGCUGCCGCCACCAAGAAGCCUGUGUGCGAGCACAAGUUACUAUCCACACCCCCCUCCCGGGGAGCCUGUGCAGCCCGCCACUGCCAGGGUCCCGGGAUCCAGGGACAACUUACCCGGGAGAACGCACGGCGCACCUCAGGCUGGUGCAACGUCAGGCCGGCCUCUGCCGCCGCAGGCUCGCCCCGCACUCCGUGCCCCUCCCUCCCCCCAGCCUGAGUGAGCCAGAGCCCCUGAAUCAGCUGAUCCUUUAACCCCGUCCGGUCUGAGGGAAGAACAGAUGCCCUCAGGUGGAACCCCGGGAGAUGUGCAAACAAAGAACAGAAAGGGAAAUCUCUCCCAGCAGCCUCAGAAGCACCAGCUUAAAGCUCCACAAUCAACUUGAUGUACCUGCAUCUGUGGAAUACCUGAAUAGACAACGAAUCAUCCCAAAUUGAGGAGGUGGACUUUGAGAGCAAAAUUUAUGAUUUUUUCCCCUUUUCCCUCUUUUUCUGAGUGUGUAUGUGUAUGCUUCUGUGUGAGAUUUUGUCUGUAUAGCUUUGCUUCCACCAUCUGUCCUAGGGUUCUUUCCGUCCGUUUUUUUUUUUUUUCUACUUAAAAAUUUUUUUUUCUUAAUAAUUAUCUUUUAUUUUAAUAACUUUAUUUUACCUUACUUUAUUUUAUUUUAUUUUAUCCUCUUUCUUUCUUUCUACUUUUUCUCCCUUUUAUUGUGAGCCGUGUGGACGAAAGGCUCUUGGUGCUGCAGCCAGGAGUCAGCGCUGUGCCUCUGAGGUGGGAGAGCCAACUUCAGGACACUGGUCCACAAGAAACCUCCCAGCUCCACGUAAUAUCAAAUGGCGAAAACCAGAGAUCUCCAUCUCAACACCAACACCCAGCUUCACUCAACGACCAGCAAGCUACAGUGCUGGACACCCUAUGCCAAACAACUAGCAAGACAGGAACACAACCCCAUGCAUUAGCAGGGAGGCUGCCUAAAAUCAUAAUAAGUCCACAGACACCCCAAAACACACCACCAGACGUGGACCUGCCCACCAGAGAGACAAGAUCCAGCCUCAUCCACCAGAACACAGGCACCAGUCCCCUCCAGCAGGAAGCCAACACAACCCACUGAACCAAACUUAGCCACUGGGAACAGACACCAAAAACAACGGGAACUACGAACCUACAGCCUGCAAAAAGGAGACCCCAAACACAGUAAGAUAAGCAAAAUGAGAACACAGAAAAACACACUGCAGAUGAAGGAGCAAGAUAAAAACCCACCAGACCUAACAAAUGAAGAGGAAAUAGGCAGUCUACCUGAAAAAGAAUUCAGAAUAAUGAUAGUAAAGAUGAUCCAAAAUCUUGGAAAUAGAAUGGACAAAAUGCAAGAAACAUUUAACAAGGACCUAGAAGAACUAAAGAUGAAACAAGCAAUGAUGAACAACACAAUAAAUGAAAUUAAAAAUACUCUAGAAGGGUUCAAUAGCAGAAUAACUGAGGCAGAAGAACGGAUAAGUGACCUGGAAGGUAAAGUAGUGGAAAUAACUACUGCAGAGCAG